CACAGCUGGCGUGGCGGGGUGGAGGGUGGCCCGGGACCCAGCGCCCGCGCCCGGCACAGCCGCCCCUUUGUGCUGCCCCUUUGUGCGGCCGGCCUCCUGGAAGCCGCCGGGAAGCCCAGGCGCAGCACGCGGCUGCACACGCGUGUCAUUUCGGCCAAGGAACCUCCAGAAACCGGGCGCGUGGCGGGGGACCUUUGCGGUCAAGAACUUGGCGGGCCAGGGCUGCCAGGCACACACUGUGACCUCCUAGUCAACCUGUGUUGCUGGGACAGGUGUGGUGGGGGGACAGGUGUGGUGGGAGCCCGGGGUGCUCCCCCAGGGUGAAACCUGGGCCCCCCUGGUGUGGGGCGCCAGGAGGGAAGAGGGAGUCAUCACCGAGGCCCAGGAAAAGGGACUCUACCCCCAGAGGAGCCAGGAAAGAUUCCACCUGUGACAUCUCCACCCGUUGGGUGGGCACAGCUGACUGGCUGGCUGCCCAUGGGCAUGGGAACCGAUGCAAGGCCACAGGUGAGGAGGAGAGAAGGGAAUUGCCCCGAGAUGCUCAUGGGUGGAGCAGCGCAGAGCUGAGGGAGGAGGAGGAGGUAAGGCCACAUCCUGCCCAGCCGAGAGGAUGACGGGAGGCCCCUCACCCAGAGAUAGGGGAUAUCAGGGGCAGGACAGGGGCGAAGCUGUCUCCACCUAAACCGUCUGGGUUUGUGGGUGGAGGUUGCUGUCUCCCUUUGUGCCCGCUCAGGGCCUGGCCACACAGUCUGCCCCUUCAAUUCCAUGCAGUGAGCAUUCACCCGGCCCCAACCCCCUCCUGGGAAUGAGCAGAUCCUGGCCUCCUGGAGUCUGUAGAGGAGGAAAAUGGUACCACCCACAGUAACACAGAUGCCCAGCAUGCCCAUGGUGUGAGACAAGGGUGGAACGGUGGCCAGGGGCCAGUGGGCCAGUGGGCACGGAUCCCAGGAGGAGGAAGAGAGGGCUGGUACAGGACAUCCAGGGCUUGGAGAUAGAAGGAUUGUUAGGGAAGGGACAUUUGGUCUGGGACCAGGAUGAAGUGACCUUUUCCCUGUACUCAGUAGAGGAAGAGAAGGCCACCAGGCCAAGGGGAGAGAGAACAGCCAGCCAGCCCCCUUAUCUUCGGGGAGCCUCCAAGACCCCCUCUGCAUGCCUGAAUGCACCUCUGUAUAUUAUCUUGUUUUCUGCAGCUUUGCCACAGAGGACCAGAAUUCAUCUGCCGUCCUGGGUGCCCCCUUUGCAGCACUACUAUUGUGCUUAGGAGCCACAAUUAAGUAAAAUAAGGGCCACCUGGACACCAGCACUGUGUUACCAUGAUGGUCAAUGCGACAUGACAGUCUGCUGAGAUGGUUGCCAACAGGCAGGUAGCAUAUAGAGCGUGGAUACACUGGACAAAGAGAUGAUUCGCAGCUCUGCCAGGAAGGAGCAGGACAGUGCCAGAUCUCAUCCCAGACACAAUUUAAACUUACAAAUUGUCUAUUUCUGGAAUUUUCCAUUUAGUGUUUUUGGACCACAGUUGACUUAAGAUAACCGAAACUGGGGAUCAUGAAACCAUGAACAUGCCGGGGGUGGGGGGCUUACUGUCCAGUAUUAGUAUCCUCUGGCUGCCAUAACAACGUGUCACAAACUGAGUGGUUUAGAACAGAACUUUUUUUACCCCUGGUUUGGAGCCUAGAAGUACACAUCAUGGUGUCGGCAGCGUUGAGUCCUUUUUGGAGGCUCUGAGAAAGAAUCUGUCCCAUGCCUCUCUCUGAACUUGUGGUGGUUUUCUCUGGUCUUUGGUGAUUGAACCCAGGGGUGCUUAACCACUGAGCCACAUCCCCAG
rnacentral:lncRNA from 1 species